UAACCCUCUUCUCUCUUGUCUCCCUCACACCAGCCACGAAGGUUUUCAAAGGAAAUAUGACUCGAAAAUAUCUUAGAGUGCCAUGAAAGCUGAAGGACAAAGCUAAAAUCCACCUAAGAGCACACCAAACAGGAUCAACAAGAAUUGAAGAUGCCUGUCCUGUUUCAAAAGCAAGGGGAGGAGCCCAAGGCAGAUCUGUUAUCAUUCGUCUUUCCUCUUCAUUACAAGAAAAGAAAAAGAAAAGGAGAAAAGUUGGAAAGCGGCUCAGUAAAAGAAAGAAAGGACUGACCACCCCUUCCGAUAGCAGGAACUGAAAGUUGUCUGUUACC